CCAGCCCCCACCCUCCAGAGUAAAAAGCUCAACUCCAGAAUUGAAAUUCCACCAAUUUCUAUCUGGACAGCUUUACCCUGAAAAGUCCCACCCCCUCAACACAGAAGAAGCUCUGUAUAAGCCCUGCCUUCUACUCAGGUCCCUGCUGUUUCUCAUCCAAGCAGAGGCAGCCACCCUCCUGGUUUUUUCCCAACAAAUCUGUGUGAGGUUUGUUGUGAGGUAUGACUUUGUGGCAUUCCUUGGCUUCGAACUGCCAGGAUACCUUUCCACCUGAGCUAUCACACAUUUGGUGCCAAAACCUGGGAUAGACUCUCCUCAUGCCUGCGUUGCCCCUCAGGGGCCUUGGCUGUACUAGGGCCCUAUCCCUCAUCUCCAGUUCACCAGCAACAGACUCACCUUCCAGCUCAGUAAUUGCCCAGUACUCCAUCCACCAACAUCAAUGAGGGUUUGGGGAAGUGUGGGAAUGCGGAUGCUGAUGCUGUGGAUACUAUGGAAUUCUGGCUCCCUCCCUUGGCUCUGCAGUCCUCAUCCCCCUGAGUGAGUGGUCUGGAAGAAGUGGCAACUAGCAAAAGCUCCUGCUGAUUUGCACCAUGUCUCCAGAGGGAAGCAGAAAGCACAGUCUUCAGCACAGUUUCCAUCAGCUGCUUGUACAGCCAUUCUGCACUCCUCGGUGUGCAACGCAAGGUGUUUCAAAGUGUACUGUGUACUCCAAGGUCUGACUGCUCUACCGAGCCUGCUCUGAACUGCCAAGGAUAAUUCCCUGCUGUUUUGUAAAAGACCAGAUUUGUUCAAAAUUUGUUCAGAAGGCCAACCUGUUCAAAGAAUAGCACUGAUUCCAAGAAGACCAUGGCCCUAUUGCUGUCAGUGAGUAGAACAGGGAGAAUGAACUCAUUCUAGGAUCAAUUUCCAGCAAAUGUAUUGUAAAGAAGGAA